UACUUAACUCGACUAUGUUAAAUUGUCGUUAAUAUCAUCAUGAUUAAUUAUUCAGAAAUGUCAAAAUGAGGAAAAGACAUCUUUGUAAUCUACAAAAUUCACGUUGUACUAAGUGAAAACAUGAGAAAAUUACAUAUUAUCUAUGGUAAAAUCACGAAGCUAACUAAAAUAUAAUCUGCCAUAAAUUACUGCGGAAACUGUUUUAUCAAACGUAUUUGUAUACAUGCGUAAAAUUGGCAGCCGAUAAAAAAUAAUUACAAGUGACAAAUGAUGAUCAAAUAAUUUUUACAGUUUUUAAGUAUAUUUCAUACGUAGUCUAUAUAUUUUUACGACAACAAUUACUUGUCUAGAUGAAGCUGUACUCCAAAGGAUUUAUUACCGAAGUGUGUACUGAAAAUACGUUUGACUUGGAGUAAAUUGUACACUUCGUAAACUACGAUGAAGAACGAAAAUUCUAUCUUCCUCGUACGAUUAUAAUCCACAUACUAUCUUUUGCGAACGAAUGAGAAGACAAAUGAAGAAUAAUCAUAAAGCCAUCAAAGUUUCGGACGAUUUAUAAAAAUAUCGAUUGGGCAUUACAAGAAUUCAACCUCGCUUUUCGAUUCAACGAUGUUUCCACGUUCCGAUUCGAUGAUCUUCGACCGAAAGCUCGUCCAAGAGGAUAUCACGUGAAAAUCGUGGUAGAAAGUCGAAGCACGAAGGGCCGCGCGACUCGUUGGCACACUUACCCUUCGACGAAACACCAAAAAAGCAGUCUAAUGACCAGAACGAUGACCACCGUGAAAAAAGUUUCCGUUAUUACGAAAAUAACGAGCAUGGAGAGCCGGCAAGGGUCAUUUUCGGGCAACCAGGAAUACGAUAACUCAAUGAAGAACCAACGUAGCGAGCGUCCCCGUGAUCAAUCGACGAUCAUGUUACGGAACACAAAGUCUAGGCCCACCAGAAAUCCGCUCGGAUUUCUCAACUGGAUUCGUCCGGGGAUCCGGGACAUUCGAGUAACGAGAACGCUGACGAAAAACGAAGACACAAGA